AUCAGUUUGAACUGUCUGACAGUAACUUUAUUGCUAUUCAAUCUGUAAAUUAUGAUAAUGAAAUAUCCUUUAGAAAAGCUGUCAGUAAAGUUUCUUUGUGUGAUGGUCAGGUUUACACAAAACGUGGAUGUAGUGCUUGUGGUAAGACUAGAUGUAACACUAAACGUUGUCUUUGCAAAAAGUCAGGACAAAUGUGUAACAGUCGCUGUCAUCCAAACUUUAAAUGUAGCAAC
rnacentral:lncRNA from 1 species